rnacentral:rRNA from 1 species
CUCACGCGGGAAUCUUACCGGGUCCGGACACACUGAGGAUUGACAGAUAUAUACCCCGUGAUUUUAUCGCGGGGUUGAAAGAUGCUAGUUCUUUCAUGAUUAUGUGAUAGGUGGUGCAUGGCCGUUCUUAGUUCGUGGAGUGAUCUGUCUGCUUAAUUGCGUAUCAAUAAUAGAGACCUAGUAUACGCGUAGACUCAUGCGGUAGUGACCCCCCUUCACAGGGCGCGUGUCGCACGUAUGUUAUACGCACAGGUCUCCGAUAGCAACGAACGUGACCGUACUCUAUUGUUGCAGCGACAAUACCUUUCAACGGGUAUUACCGCUGCUUAGCAAGAUUCGUCUUGCAUUAAACUAUAGAGACUGCUGUUUCUUCUUUAAACCAGAGGAAGGAUACGGCAAUAACAGGUCUGUGAUGCCCUCAGAUGUUCCGGGCUGCACACGUGCUACAAUGAUCAUUGCACUGUGCAUCUAACCCAAUGUGCGCGGACGCCGCCGUGCGUAUAUACUUUAUUGUGUAUGCGUAUCGUGCGUGCGACCGCGCCGAACCUGCUUCGAAAGUAAACAUUUCCAGCGGGUAAUCCAUUAGAAGUAAUGACUCGCAUAGACCAUGGCACACUAUAUGUACCCGCGGGUUCUACCCGGCUCGCCUUUGUGUGAGUGCAGUGCGUAGCUCGUUGUUUGGUACGUGCCACUCCGUAUUAAUUCAUACGUGGGGAUAGAUCAUUGUUUAAUUGUUGGUCUCGGUCUUAAC